rnacentral:rRNA from 1 species
ACGAACGCUGGCGGCGCGCCUAACACAUGCAAGUCGAACGGAGCUUAAAGAGCUUGCUUUUUAAGCUUAGUGGCGAACGGGUGAGUAACGCGUGAGUAACCUGCCCUGGAGUGGGGGACAACAGUUGGAAACGACUGCUAAUACCGCAUAAGCCCACGGCCCGACAUCGGGCUGCGGGAAAAGGAUUUAUUCGCUUCAGGAUGGACUCGCGUCCAAUUAGCUAGUUGGUGAGGUAACGGCCCACCAAGGCGACGAUUGGUAGCCGGACUGAGAGGUUGAACGGCCACAUUGGGACUGAGACACGGCCCAGACUCCUACGGGAGGCAGCAGUGGGGGAUAUUGCACAAUGGGGGAAACCCUGAUGCAGCGACGCCGCGUGGAGGAAGAAGGUUUUCGGAUUGUAAACUCCUGUCGUUAGGGACGAUAAUGACGGUACCUAACAAGAAAGCACCGGCUAACUACGUGCCAGCAGCCGCGGUAAAACGUAGGGUGCAAGCGUUGUCCGGAAUUACUGGGUGUAAAGGGAGCGCAGGCGGACCGGCAAGUUGGAAGUGAAAACUAUGGGCUCAACCCAUAAAUUGCUUUCAAAACUGCUGGCCUUGAGUAGUGCAGAGGUAGGUGGAAUUCCCGGUGUAGCGGUGGAAUGCGUAGAUAUCGGGAGGAACACCAGUGGCGAAGGCGACCUACUGGGCACCAACUGACGCUGAGGCUCGAAAGCAUGGGUAGCAAACAGGAUUAGAUACCCUGGUAGUCCAUGCCGUAAACGAUGAUUACUAGGUGUUGGAGGAUUGACCCCUUCAGUGCCGCAGUUAACACAAUAAGUAAUCCACCUGGGGAGUACGUCCGCAAGGUUGAAACUCAAAGGAAUUGACGGGGGCCCGCACAAGCAGUGGAGUAUGUGGUUUAAUUCGAAGCAACGCGAAGAACCUUACCAGGUCUUGACAUCCGAUGCAUAGUGCAGAGAUGCAUGAAGUCCUUCGGGACAUCGAGACAGGUGGUGCAUGGUUGUCGUCAGCUCGUGUCGUGAGAUGUUGGGUUAAGUCCCGCAACGAGCGCAACCCUUAUUGCCAGUUACUACGCAAGAGGACUCUGGCGAGACUGCCGUUGACAAAACGGAGGAAGGUGGGGAUGACGUCAAAUCAUCAUGCCCCUUAUGUCCUGGGCUACACACGUACUACAAUGGCCGGUACAGACGGAAGCGAAGCCGUGAGGCGGAGCGAAACCGAGAAAGCCGGUCUCAGUUCGGAUUGUAGUCUGCAACUCGACUACAUGAAGUCGGAAUCGCUAGUAAUCGCGGAUCAGCAUGCCGCGGUGAAUACGUUCCCGGGCCUUGUACACACCGCCCGUCACACCACGAGAGUUUGUAACACCCGAAGUCGGUGGGGUAACCUUUUGGAGCCAGCCGCCUAAGGUGGGACAGAUGAUUGGGGUG